rfam:Ictidomys tridecemlineatus contig035270, whole genome shotgun sequence.
GGGGUUGUGGCUCAGUGGUAGAGUGCUCAUCUAGCAAGUGAGAGGCACUGGGUUCAAUCCUCAGCACCA